rnacentral:rRNA from 1 species
GAUGAACGCUGGCGGCGUGCCUAAUACAUGCAAGUCGAGCGAACGGACGAGAAGCUUGCUUCUCUGAUGUUAGCUGCGGACGUGUGAGUAACACGUGGAUAACCUACCUAUAAGACUGGGAUAACUUCGGGAAACCGGAGCUAAUACCGGAUAAUAUUUUGAACCGCAUGGUUCCAAAGUGAAAGACGGUCUUGCUGUCACUUAUAUAUUGAUCCGCGCUGCAUUAGCUAGUUGGUAAGGUAAAGGCUUACCAAGGCAACGAUGCAUAGCCGACCUGAGAGGGUGAUCGGCCACACGGGAACUGAGACACGGACCAGACACCUACGGGAGGCAGCAGGAGGGAAUCUUCCGCAAUGGGCGAAAGCCUGACGGAGCAACGCCGCGUGAGUGAUGAAGGUCUUCGGAUCGUAAAACUCUGUUAGUAGGGAAGAACAUAUGUGUAAGUAACUGUGCACAUCUUGACGGUACCUAAUCAGAAAGCCACGGCUAACUACGUG